rnacentral:tRNA from 1 species
AUUUAUUUAGUAUAAAAAGUACAUUUGAUUUCCAAUCAAAAAGUCUAAUUAAUUAUUAUAGAAUAAGUA